rnacentral:rRNA from 1 species
UACGGAGGGUGCAAACGUUGCUCGGAAUCAUUGGGCGUAAAGCGCACGUAGGUGGCUUGUUAAGUCGGGUGUGAAAUCCCUGGGCUCAACCCAGGAAGUGCACUCGAAACUGGACGAGCUUGAGUACUGAAGAGGGUCGCGGAAUUCCCGGUGUAGAGGUGAAAUUCGUAGAUAUUGGGAGGAACACCAGUGGCGAAGGCGGCUCACUGGACCGGUUCUGACGCUGAGGCACGAAAGCGUGGGGAGCAAACAGG